GAGGGUAUAGCUCAGUGGUAAAGUGCAUGCUUAGCAUGCACGAGGUCCUGGGUUCAAUCCCCAGUACCACCU
rnacentral:tRNA from 1 species